CCUACGGGGGGCAGCAGUGAGGAAUAUUGGUCAAUGGACGAGAGUCUGAACCAGCCAAGUAGCGUGAAGGAUGACUGCCCUAUGGGUUGUAAACUUCUUUUAUAUGGGAAUAAAACAGGGUAUGCAUACCCUCUUGUAUGUACCAUAUGAAUAAGGAUCGGCUAACUCCGUGCCAGUAGCCGCGGUAAUACGGAGGAUCCGAGCGUUAUCCGGAUUUAUUGGGUUUAAAGGGAGCGUAGGUGGAUUGUUAAGUCAGUUGUGAAAGUUUGCGGCUCAACCGUGAAAUUGCAGUUGAAACUGGCAGUCUUGAGUGCAGUAGAGGUAGGCGGAAUUCGUGGUGUAGCGGUGAAAUGCUUAGAUAUCACGAAGAACACCGAUUGCGAAGGCAGCUCACUGGACUGCAACUGACACUGAUGCUCGAAAGUGUGGGUAGCAAACAGGAUUAGAUACCCCUGUAGUC
rnacentral:rRNA from 1 species